UUAUCCGGAUUUAUUGGGUGUAAAGGGUGCGUAGACGGGAAAGCAAGUUAGUUGUGAAAGCCCUCGGCUUAACUGAGGAACUGCAACUAAAACUAUUUUUCUUGAGUGCAGGAGAGGAAAGCGGAAUUCCUAGUGUAGCGGUGAAAUGCGUAGAUAUUAGGAGGAACACCAGUGGCGAAGGCGGCUUUCUGGACUGUAACUGACGUUGAGGCACGAAAGUGUGGGGAGCAAACAGGAUUAGAUACCCUGGUAGUCCACACCGUAAACGAUGGAUACUAGGUGUAGGAGAUGAUUUCAUCAUCUGUGCCGAAAGCAAACGCAAUAAGUAUCCCACCUGGGGAGUACGGCCGCAAGGUUGAAACUCAAAGGAAUUGACGGGGGCCCGCACAAGCAGUGGAGUAUGUGGUUUAA
rnacentral:rRNA from 1 species